AACGAACGCUGGCGGCAUGCCUAACACAUGCAAGUCGAACGAGACCUUCGGGUCUAGUGGCGCACGGGUGCGUAACGCGUGGGAACCUGCCCUUAGGUUCGGAAUAACUCCCCGAAAGGGGUGCUAAUACCGGAUAAUGUCUUCGGACCAAAGAUUUAUCGCCUUUGGAUGGGCCCGCGUUGGAUUAGCUAGUUGGUAGGGUAACAGCCUACCAAGGCGACGAUCCAUAGCUGGUCUGGGAGGAUGAUCAGCCACACUGGGACUGAGACACGGCCCAGACUCCUGCGGGAGGCCGCAGUGGGGAAUAUUGGACGAUGGGCGAAAGCCUGAUCCAGCCAUGCCGCGUGAGUGAUGAAGGCCUUAGGGUUGUAAAGCUCUUUUACCCGGGAUGAUAAUGACAGUACCGGAAGAAUAAGCUCCGGCUAACUCCGUG
rnacentral:rRNA from 1 species